UACGGAGGGUGCGAGCGUUGUCCGGAAUCACUGGGCGUAAAGGGCGCGUAGGCGGCCUGAUAAGUAGGGGGUGAAAUCCUGCGGCUUAACCGCAGGGCUGCCUUCUAGACUGUCAGGCUAGAGCACAGUAGAGGGAGGUGGAAUUCCAGGUGUAGCGGUGAAAUGCGUAGAUAUUGGGAGGAACACCAGUGGCGAAGGCGGCUCACUGGACCGGAACUGACGCUGAGGCGCGAAAGCGUGGGGAGCAAACAGG
rnacentral:rRNA from 1 species